rnacentral:lncRNA from 1 species
CUCUACUCAAUCUCUCUAAUAUCUAAACAAGACUAGAUCUAGAAGAACUAGUCUCUUCUAAUUGGUACAUCUAGAUGAACUAGAACUAGUUCAACUAGAGGGACCCUAACCCUAAUUAUGUAGAGAAUAUGAAGCACUGGGGUAUAGAAUGCCUCUUAGGGGGAGCCUUGGGCGUCAUUAUAUAGGCCGAGGUGGAGUAGGGGUCAAGGAAUCGCCACGUCAGCGAUCGGCGUCUUCACCUUGUGUGCACCGUUAGAUCAAACCGACUUAAAAUCGACGAAGAGAUACUUUGCUUGGCUUCCAAGGAGGCGUAGGAGGAAGACUCCAGAAGGCGGUGACCAUCGGGCUAAAUAGGGCGCCGACCAGCCCCAAGGUGGAGCCGGCCGGCCCCACCUUGUUUCCUCUGCGGGUCUCGUUCCUCCAGGUGUCUUCUAGACCCUUCCUGAGUCUUCUCGUGAUGUUUUCCGUCGCGGAUGAGUGUCGUGGUAAAUAUGCACUAGAAUCCCUCUUUUCAACUUUUCUAAAAUUCACCCUAGAAAAUACAGAAUAUGCAAAACUCGUGGAAAUUGUCAGAUAAAACUCUAGAAUAGUGUGUUUUCAUGUGUUCCCUUGUGUCUAAAGUUCUAAUAAAUAUUGACGUUAUCGACCGUCAACAAUACCCCCAAGCUUACCUUUUGUCAGUCCCUUGGCGAACUACCCAAGCCUAAUUAUUAAUAUAUUUGCAUCAGGAGUUGCUACAAUACUUUUAUUUCUUUUAAGUACACUUGCUUUUAAACAUAAAUUUUUCUCUGGUCUAACUUCCAAACUUACCCACUUUACCUUUAACCAUGGAACUUUACAACUUUUGCAUAAAUCUUGAGUAAUCGAAAGAUAGAACAAUCAAGUCAAACACUAUGUCUCCAAUUCUUUACAGUACUAAUAUUCCAGAGUUUUGUAAGUUUUCAAAAUAAAGCUCAGAGCAUAAUUGUAUGACACCCUCAAGUCUCUUAUUAUAUAGUAUUUAUGGAUCUCGCUGAGGCAUUAAAGAGGUUAUGCCUUCCUACAACUAAGGAUAUAUAGUGGAGCUUAUAGGAGUGGCAAUAACAAGGAUGAGCAUACUUGUAAUUCAUAUAUUGUAAAGUCAAACAAUGGAUCCAUAGAGAAUCGAGGCAUACAAUCAAACUAAGAUGUGUAUGUGUAUGGAAUAGGUGUAUAUAGAGUAUUUAGUGGCUAAUCCUAAUUCUACUUUUGCUCUUUGAAAAUAACUCCCUCCUUUAGAACUUUUUGCAGGAAAACCAUGGGCUAUUUUAUUCUUUCUUUAUUUCUUAUUUUUUCCUUUCUCUUCUCUCUUUUUUAAUCUAAGAGGCGGGCAUCUAUGUACCCAUUGUUUUAAUUGUUGGACACUUGUCCAUCUUUUACUCUCCCUUUUUUUCUUUUUAAAUAUUUUUGCAUAGCCACAUGCAUCCUUUGAAUAUAAAUCAUUAGAGAGAUAAUGAUAAGAACUUAGAGCAAUUAAAUGGGAGCUGUCCUAUAGGGUAUUUUUUUGUUGUUGUUUACUCCCACUGUUGGAGAAAACAUUUUUUAAGGUGGAUCUAGGUGAAAGUGGAAAAUAAUUGCGCUUACUCCCAGAGUAGGAGCAAUGCAAAUGUAGGUGUAGUGCGUAAGUGAUCUUGAUUUUAAAAGCAUGACAAGACUCUCAUAAGGUAUACAACAAAGGUUGACUAAACUCAAUGCAAAGUAAGCAGCAUUAAUGCGCAAAGGUUUUCAUAACUCUAAAUGUAUCAUAUAUGGCUUUGGUAGGAAUUUAAACUUUAUCAUACAAGAGCUCAUCAUGUAAGAUUUUGUUUUUUUUUGAAAAUAAAUCUCCAGAACUUAGUAAUGCUAGGAAUAAGAUAAAUAGCAGCUUAGAACUUCAUGUAUAAUAUCAAUUACCUAGACUCAGCUUAAACAUAUGCCUCCACAAAUUUUAGGUUCAGAGUAAAUUCUUAUAUUAAAGUGGUCAUGUCUAAAACUUAGGAGAAUUCAUGGUUGAAAACUAGGCACUUGAAAGAAAUUACUGUAGAGCAACUAUUCAUCAUCUCCAAGACAAAAUUUUAUUAUUCUCUAAUUUUUAUUUGACUCUAAACUACACUAUAUGAUCACACCUUAAUAUAUAGAUACAUAUUUUGUUUGGUUGUUAUUCAUUUCUAUUGGACUCAGAAGACUCUAAAGAUAUGGACGUUCAUGUACCCAUAUAUUUUUGGUAUUUUUAAUUCUCCCUUAUAUUUUCUUAUGAUACUAUUCUGAACCUUCAUGUGCUCACAUAUUUUUGAUAUUUUAUGACUAUAUAAAAUAGACUCGAUAAUCGCCUAGGUAUAGUUACCUGAUAACUAGGGGAUACCUCCAAGCUAGAUGUUUGCAAUAGUUGGUGUUGAUGAUCUUCAGAGUGAGCUUACCGGCAGCGCUCUAGGUGGGUGCCACUAAUAGACUCUCUCCUUGUCAUAAUGUUGUUUCUGCAUAAUUACUCUAAAAAGAAAACCAAAACUCGAGGCUUGAAUUUGUUAAUAGGUUAGCGGUCAGCCAAAGAGUAAUUGAUCACCUUUAAGAGCUAGCUUUAAUGUUGUCUAAUUUAAACAGGAUUUCAAUUUUCUCUUAUUUUUGAUUUUUCUAUUUAUGAUGCAGGAAUUUAAAUGCUAUAUUUUUGUUAUUUUUAUUUUAUGCCACCACAGCGGAUAUUCCUUUGAAAAAUACCAUAGGGUAUCCCCAUGGAGUUUGUGAUGCCAUAAGUAAUGCAGUACAUAUUUUUAUUGUUUUUAUAUCUUUUAGUGUGUAAACAAAAUUAUGCUACUAAAUAAAUUACAAAUGCAUUUAAAGAGAUAACUACCAUUCUAACCUUAUGGCUAGGGUACGGUGUUUUUAGUCCUUCGAACUGGGCUUCUUCUUUCACUUUUGUGUAUCUCUCCAUCUUUAGAGAUGGAGGUCUUGUUAGUUGCAUACCUUUAGUGAUAAUGAUGUCACCUUUGUUCUUUGAUUUGGCCAGUAGGUUGAAUGAGAGUUUAAAUAGUAGCUGGCAGCAUCUUGCUCAGUGUGCAUGUUCACAGAACUUUUACUUGUAGAAUUAAUAAACUUUGCUUGAUAUAUUAUCUUGUUUGCAAAACUAAGGUAGAGAUCAAGUGCAUGGACUCUGCUAGUGGAAAAACACCAACAUAACCAAAUCUAUUUCUUUAUUUAAUUUUCUCCAUCCUUAGGCACAUUAAACAAGAUAAAGUUGGGUUACAUGAUUUAUUUAUUUAUGAGUGGUAAGAUCAAAAGAUCAAGCAUUUAAUGUUGCAUUUAAGUUCACAUGACAGAAA